GACAGAGGUGGCAAGCGUUGUUCGGAUUCAUUGGGCUUAAAGCGCGUGUAGGCGGCCCUUCAAGUGCUUUGUGAAAUCCCCACGCUCAACGUGGGAAUUGCUGGGCAUACUGCAGGGCUUGAGGUCGGUAGAGGUGCCUGGAACUCUAGGUGGAGCGGUGAAAUGCGUAGAUAUCUAGAGGAACGCCAGAGGCGAAAGCGGGGCACUGGGCCGAUUCUGACGCUGAGACGCGAAAGCGUGGGGAGCAAAC
rnacentral:rRNA from 1 species